rnacentral:rRNA from 1 species
AGUGAACGCUGGCGGUAGGCCUAACACAUGCAAGUCGAACGGCAGCACAGUAAGAGCUUGCUCUUACGGGUGGCGAGUGGCGGACGGGUGAGGAAUACAUCGGAAUCUACUUUUUCGUGGGGGAUAACGUAGGGAAACUUACGCUAAUACCGCAUACGACCUACGGGUGAAAGCAGGGGAUCUUCGGACCUUGCGCGAUUGAAUGAGCCGAUGUCGGAUUAGCUAGUUGGCGGGGGAAAGGCCCACCAAGGGGACGGUCCGUAGCUGGUCUGAGAGGAUGAUCAGCCACACUGGAACUGAGCCACGGUCCAGACUCCUACGGGAGGCAGCAGUGGGGAAUAUUGGACAAUGGGCGCAAGCCUGAUCCAGCCAUACCGCGUGGGUGAAGAAGGCCUUCGGGUUGUAAAGCCCUUUUGUUGGGAAAGAAAAGCAGCAGGUUAAUACCCCGCUGUUCUGACGGUACCCAAAGAAUAAGCACCGGCUAACUUCGUG